UAGCAAAGUAAUAAAAAAUAAAACAAUUAAGUUGGGAGUAACUUUGUUAGCCUCAUUCUAAUAUACUUCAAUCUCUCUAGAAACAGCUUGGCACAAUUAUGCACCUGUUGACAAAGGAGGCUGUUCGUAAAAUCUGCAGACUAUUCCUAGAGGUCUCUGCGGCUUUACAAAAUGAAAAUAAGAAACUGAAGAUCAAGGUGGAGCAGAUGGAUAAAGAUCUGAAGGCGAUGGUUGAGAAGGGUGAGGGACGAGAAGAACCGAAAAGACCAACCCACAUUCUGCACAAUGGAAAGAUCUUUCAAAUUAAGCCAGUUGAUCUCUCAAUGAUGCCUGUUAACAAUGUGAAGACAAACACCGUGGUCUCAGCAUUGCUCAGCAUGGGAGAUGUCAGUCAAGUAAACACUGUCAUCGUACAGGAAGAGACUACUGCGGGAAAUACAGGCUCUAGCACCGACCCUGUGAAGGAGAGGAGUCAGGUGAAAUCAGGAACUAAAACAUCAGUCAUUAAAAGGUAAUAUCCCAAAGAAACAUGGGUUCAGGCCUAAAUGGCACCCCAGGGCUUGACAUUCAGGCAUUUGUUAGAGCCAACUGAAAGUUAAUGGCAAGAUCUUAGGGAAAGCGGAUGAUGCACGCAUAAUUUCAAUAGCAGGUGAUUUUAUUUUUCAUAUGCGGGCUGAGCUUAUUAUAACCUACCCUCCAUACAUAUUUACAGUGAUUGUUUAGAGGGAAAAU
rnacentral:lncRNA from 1 species